rnacentral:rRNA from 1 species
GACGAACGCUGGCGGCGUGCUUAACACAUGCAAGUCGAACGGAAAGGCCCUGCUUUUGUGGGGUGCUCGAGUGGCGAACGGGUGAGUAACACGUGAGUAACCUGCCCUUGACUUUGGGAUAACUUCAGGAAACUGGGGCUAAUACCGGCUAGGAGCUCCUGCUGCAUGGUGGGGGUUGGAAAGUUUCGGCGGUUGGGGAUGGGCUCGCGGCUUAUCAGCUUGUUGGUGGGGUAGUGGCUUACCAAGGCUUGGACGGGUAGCCGGCCUGAGAGGGUGACCGGACAAAUUGGGACUGAGAUACGGCCCAGACUCCUACGGGAGGCAGCAGUGGGGAAUAUUGCACAAUGGGCGGAAGCCUGAUGCAGCAACGCCGCGUGCGGGAUGACGGCCUUCGGGUUGUAAACCGCUUUCGCCUGUGACGAAGCGUGAGUGACGGUAAUGGGUAAAGAAGCACCGGCUAACUACGUG